rnacentral:rRNA from 1 species
ACGUUCAACCGCAAAACAAGCAGAGGGGGCUUAGUGGUGGGGUGACUGCGUACCUUUUGUAUAAUGGGUCAGCGACUUAUAUUCUGUAGCAAGGUUAACCGAAUAGGGGAGCCGGAGGGAAACCGAGUCUUAAUUGGGCGUUAAGUUGCAGGGUAUAGACCCGAAACCCGGUGAUCUAGCCAUGGGCAGGUUGAAGGUUGGGUAACACUAACUGGAGGACCGAACCGACUAAUGUUGAAAAAUUAGCGGAUGACCUGUGGCUGGGGGUGAAAGGCCAAUCAAACCGGGAGAUAGCUGGUUCUCCCCGAAAGCUAUUUAGGUAGCGCCUCGUGAAUUCAUCUCCGGGGGUAGAGCACUGUUUCGGCUAGGGGGCCAUCCCGGCUUACCAACCCGAUGCAAACUGCGAAUACCGGAGAAUGUUAUCACGGGAGACACACGGCGGGUGCUAACGUCCGUCGUGAAGAGGGAAACAACCCAGACCGCCAGCUAAGGUCCCAAAGUCAUGGUUAAGUGGGAAACGAUGUGGGAAGGCCCAGACAGCCAGGAUGUUGGCUUAGAAGCAGCCAUCAUUUAAAGAAAGCGUAAUAGCUCACUGGUCGAGUCGGCCUGCGCGGAAGAUGUAACGGGGCUAAACCAU